rnacentral:rRNA from 1 species
GACGAACGCUGGCGGCGUGCUUAACACAUGCAAGUCGAACGGAAAGGCCCUGCUUUUGUGGGGUGCUCGAGUGGCGAACGGGUGAGUAACACGUGAGUAACCUGCCCUUGACUUUGGGAUAACUUCAGGAAACUGGGGCUAAUACCGGAUAGGAGCUCCUGCUGCAUGGUGGGGGUUGGAAAGUUUCGGCGGUUGGGGAUGGACUCGCGGCUUAUCAGCUUGUUGGUGGGGUUGUUGCUUACCAAGGCUUUGACGGGUAGCCGGCCUGUGAGGGUGACCGGCCACAUUGGGACUGAGAUACGGCCCAGACUCCUACGGGAGGCAGCGGUGGGGAAUAUUGCACAAUGGGCGGAAGCCUGAUGCAGCAACGCCGCGUGCGGGAUGACGGCCUUCGGGUUGUAAACCGCUUUCGCCUGUGACGAAGCGUGAGUGACGGUAAUGGGUAAAGAAGCACCGGCUAACUACGUG